CGGUGUUCAACUGGCGUGUCCGCGGGACGUCCUGCCGGUGGGCUUAGCCCGCAAGGGCGGCCCAACUUCAAAUCCCAUCGCGGUGCUCUUCACUGAGUGUCGAGGUGGGCCGGCACGUUUACUUUGAACAAAUUGGAGUGCUUAAAGCAGGCUAAAACUUCGCCUGAAUACUGUGUGCAUGGAAUAAUGGAAUAGGACCUCGGUUCUAUUUUGUUGGUUUUCGGAACCCCGAGGUAAUGAUUAAUAGGAACGGAUGGGGGCAUUCGUAUUGCGACGUUAGAGGUGAAAUUCUUGGAUCGUCGCAAGACGGACAGAAGCGAAAGCAUUUGCCAAAAACGCUUUCAUUGAUCAAGAACGAAAGUUAGAGGUUCGAAGGCGAUCAGAUACCGCCCUAGUUCUAACCAUAAACGAUGCCAGCUAGCGAUCCGUCGACGUUCCUCCGAUGACUCGACGGGCAGCUUCCGGGAAACCAAAGCUUUUGGGUUCCGGGGGAAGUAUGGUUGCAAAGCUGAAACUUAAAGGAAUUGACGGAAGGGCACCACCAGGAGUGGAGCCUGCGGCUUAAUUUGACUCAACACGGGAAACCUCACCAGGCCCGGACACCGGAAGGAUUGACAGAUUGAGAGCUCUUUCUUGAUUCGGUGGGUGGUGGUGCAUGGCCGUUCUUAGUUGGUGGAGCGAUUUGUCUGGUUAAUUCCGAUAACGAACGAGACUCUAGCCUGCUAACUAGGCGUAUUUUCGACAUCUCAAAGGUCCGUCGUCCCGGCCCUCGGGUCGUGGGCGUGCGCGAUUUUUACUGUCGGCGUACUAUCAAUUCUUCUUAGAGGGACAGGUGGCUUCUAGCCGCACGAGAUUGAGCAAUAACAGGUCUGUGAUG
rnacentral:rRNA from 1 species